CGCGCAGCAUUCUGUAGCAAUACAGGAUGUGGGCGCGUGGCGAACGGGUGCGUAACACGUGGAUAACCUUCCUUCAGGUGGGGAAUAACCCAGUGAAAAUUGGGCUAAUACCGCAUAACAUCGCGAUGGCACAUGCUGUUGCGUUCAAAGGCGCAAGUCGCCAGAAGAGGGAUCCGCGGCCGAUUAGCUUGUUGGCGAGGUAAUGGCUCACCAAGGCAUUGAUCGGUAGCCGGACUGAGAGGUUGGCCGGCCACACUGGAACUGAGACACGGUCCAGACUCCUACGGGAGGCAGCAGUGGGGAAUCUUGCACAAUGGACGAAAGUCUGAUGCAGCAACGCCGCGUGGGGGAUGAAGCUUCUCGGAGUGUAAACCCCUUUCGACCCGGAAGAAAGCCCGCAAGGGUUUGACGGUACGGGUAUAAGAAGCCCCGGCUAACUACGUGCCAGCAGCCGCGGUAAAACGUAGGGGGCCAGCGUUGCUCGGAAUUACUGGGCGUAAAGGGUCCGUAGGCGGUGUGGCAAGUCGGUAGUGAAAUCUCUGGGCUUAACUCAGAGGCUGCUGCCGAAACUGCUGUGCUAGAGUGCGAGAGAGGCGAGUGGAAUUGCGGGUGUAGCGGUGAAAUGCGUAGAUAUCCGCAGGAACAUCCGAGGCGAAAGCGGCUCGCUGGAUCGCAACUGACGCUGAGGGACGAAAGCUAGGGGAGCAAACAGGAUUAGAUACCCUGGUAGUCCUAGCCCUAAACCAUCAGGACUUGGGGUUUGCCCUGUACGGGGCAAGUCCCGUAGCUAACGCGUUAAGUCCUGCGCCUGGGGGAGUAC
rnacentral:rRNA from 1 species